rnacentral:rRNA from 1 species
GGCGCGCCUAACACAUGCAAGUCGAACGAGCGAGAGAGAGCUUGCUUUCUCGAGCGAGUGGCGAACGGGUGAGUAACGCGUGAGGAACCUGCCUCAAAGAGGGGGACAACAGUUGGAAACGACUGCUAAUACCGCAUAAGCCCACGACCCGGCAUCGGGUUGAGGGAAAAGGAGCAAUCCGCUUUGAGAUGGCCUCGCGUCCGAUUAGCUAGUUGGUGAGGUAACGGCCCACCAAGGCGACGAUCGGUAGCCGGACUGAGAGGUUGAACGGCCACAUUGGGACUGAGACACGGCCCAGACUCCUACGGGAGGCAGCAGUGGGGAAUAUUGCACAAUGGGGGAAACCCUGAUGCAGCGACGCCGCGUGGAGGAAGAAGGUCUUCGGAUUGUAAACUCCUGUUGUUGAGGAAGAUAAUGACGGUACUCAACAAGGAAGUGACGGCUAACUACGUGCCAGCAGCCGCGGUAAAACGUAGGUCACAAGCGUUGUCCGGAAUUACUGGGUGUAAAGGGAGCGCAGGCGGGAAGGCAAGUUGGAAGUGAAAUCCAUGGGCUCAACCCAUGAACUGCUUUCAAAACUGUUUUUCUUGAGUAGUGCAGAGGUAGGCGGAAUUCCCGGUGUAGCGGUGGAAUGCGUAGAUAUCGGGAGGAACACCAGUGGCGAAGGCGGCCUACUGGGCACCAACUGACGCUGAGGCUCGAAAGUGUGGGUAGCAAACAGG